rnacentral:rRNA from 1 species
UACGGGGGGUGCGAGCGUUGUCCGGAAUCACUGGGCGUAAAGGGCGCGUAGGUGGCUUGGUAAGUCUGUGGUGAAAGCCCGGGGCUCAACCCCGGGUCUGCCGCGGAUACUGCCGAGCUUGAGUACUGUAGAGGCGGGUAGAAUGCCGGGUGUAGCGGUGGAAUGCGUAGAGAUCCGGCAGAAGACCGGUGGCGAAGGCGGCCCGCUGGGCAGUAACUGACACUGAGGCGCGACAGCGUGGGGAGCAAACAGG